rnacentral:rRNA from 1 species
GAGUGGCGCUUCUACCAUGCAAGUCGAGCGGGGAACCCCUUCGGGGGUUUCUAGCGGCGGACGGGUGAGUAACGCGUGAGCAACCUUUCCUUCACAGGGGGAUAACGCAGCGAAAGCUGUGCUAAUACCGCUUAAGACCACAAUGUCGCAUGGCAAAGGGGUCAAAGGAGCAAUCCGGUGAAGGGUGGGCUCGCGUCUGAUUAGCUAGUUGGCGGGGUAACAGCCCACCAAGGCGACGAUCAGUAGCCGACCUGAGAGGGUGAUCGGCCACACUGGGACUGAGACACGGCCCAGACUCCUACGGGAGGCAGCAGUGGGGAAUAUUGGGCAAUGGGGGAAACCCUGACCCAGCAACGCCGCGUGAGGGAAGAAGGUUUUCGGAUCGUAAGCCUCUGUCCUCAGGGACGAAGAAAUGACGGUACCUGAAGAGGAAACCCCGGCUAACUACGUGCGCGCAGCCGCGGUAAUACGUAUGGGGCGAGAGUUGUCCGGAAUGAUUGCGCGUAUCGGAGGCCUACGCGGCCUGUUUUUUCAGGCGUAAAAGUCAUGCCUUCGAGGCCGGAUCUGCUUUAUAUGCUGGUUGACAUUUGAGUACUGGAGAGUAGAGUGGACAUCCGAGGGUCGGGUGACGUGGAGAAAUGUAAUGAUGAAAUGCGGAGGCGAAAGCGGCUUG